GCUAAUACCGCAUAACGUCGCAAGACCAAAGUGGGGGACCUUCGGGCCUCAUGCCAUCAGAUGUGCCCAGAUGGGAUUAGCUAGUAGGUGGGGUAACGGCUCACCUAGGCGACGAUCCCUAGCUGGUCUGAGAGGAUGACCAGCCACACUGGAACUGAGACACGGUCCAGACUCCUACGGGAGGCAGCAGUGGGGAAUAUUGCACAAUGGGCGCAAGCCUGAUGCAGCCAUGCCGCGUGUGUGAAGAAGGCCUUCGGGUUGUAAAGCA
rnacentral:rRNA from 1 species